CAUCCCAAAUCUAUUGGAAUUAUCUUGGAUCACUGGAUUGCUGAGAUCAUAGAUUGCUAAGUCCAUCAUAGUUGAUCAUCACACAGUAUUGUUAUUACUGUGCACAAUGUUCUCCUGAUUGUGCUCACUUCACUCAGCAUCAGUUCAUGUAAGUCUUUCCAGGAAGAUGACUUUGGCAGUUGAGCAGAGGAUGGAGUAGACUGAAGAGAGACUGGGGCAGGAACACCGACCAGUGGCUACUGGAAGUGAUGAGGGUUUUCACCAGUGUCGCAUCAGUAUCAGAAGACAGAAUAGGACAUAUGGGAAGAUAUAACAAAGCUAAGAAGUUUUUCUAAGGAUGUGACCAAAUUGUAGUUGGGUUUCUUUACAGAGUCACUCCAAGGGCACCUGGAAGAAUGGCUGUCACCUUCAUUUUUAAGUGUCGCCUUGCUUGGAUUCAUUCAUCUUCUAGGAGAGUCCUAUUCCAUGGAGUACCCACUGCCACAUGUACAUGAGACAUUCAAAAGAGGUGACAGAAGGAAACCUGUGCAGAGGGGACACCUGCCAAGCAGGUGUUGCGGAGACACAGAAUGAAUGGGCAGAUUACUGAGACAUGGUGGAAGUUCAUUCCAUUGUGUUGUUCCUCAAGUUCCUAUCAGCUUUAAUUCCUGUGAUUUUUGCUAAUAAGAUAUAAUGUAUAAUUACAAACUAAGGUCCAUCAGCCAUUUCCUGCUAAGGCAAGACAACAGUGGAAAUCACCUGAACAAAUUAGAACUUUCUGGAUCUGAUAUGAGCCUGAUUAAAUAGCAGUCAAUGUCAACUAGGCUACCAUGACACUCAGGAUUACAUAUUCUUUGAAAGCACCAUAACAUAGUUACUGUUUCUUCUACUCAAGUAAUUCUUUCUUAAUCAUACAAAACAUGCACGUUUUGGUGGGAACAAAAUAAUUUAAAAUGUAUUCUACAGAUUAUUGAAUUCAAUUAGAUAAAUUCUAAUACACAAAAUGAAGCUUCUGCAAAGAUAGUUGCCAAAAACAAAAGGCACAAAAAAAAAAAAAAAAAUGGGGGAAAGAAGGGAAAGAAUAAGCUGAUUUAUUUUCCCCUGACUUCCUGGUAAAGAAUGCCCAAACCAUCCCUUUGCUCACUGUCCCUACCAUGACCACCUGAGAAGAGCCACCCAAAGCCAGGGUGGAGGAAGACUCUCUAGAGAGCUAGAGG